AUCUGCCUCCUCUCCUCAACCCGCUCACCGCCGCUACACCUCAACCCGCUCGCCGCCGCGGCUGCACCUCAGCUCGCUCGCCACCCACGCCGCCGCGGCCGCACCUCCCCCAGCCCGCUAGCCGCCCACAUCGGCGCCGCCGCUCGCCGCCCUGGCUGCAACCCAACUACCUCCGUCUCCCAUCCACGCCUGGAUCGACAUCUCCUCCAAUGGAUGCCGCCCCAACCACCUCACCCAACAGGACGCUGGCCCAGCCAACCUCAACAAGCCGUUUCUUGCCCUUGCCCGCCUCUACCUCCUCGAUGCAGGACGACUCUGACCCGCAUCUGCCUCCUGUUCGUGGACGGCGUUGGAGAACAGCGUUUCUAUAGCUCCGCAUCGGACGCGAGCGCGGCAUGGAGCAGCUGCCUCCUCUCCCGAGACGAGAAAGCCCAUAGCCCCCUCAAAUAGCAUGGAUGAACUUGCGUUUUGUGCAAUGUCACCAGUUCAUGAGUCAAUCAUUUAGAUAGAAUGAGUCUGGACCUCGUGGAGAAACAACAAUCGCCGGUAACCUUGAAAGUUUAUGUUCAAGGAAGAUGUUGGUUAAUUUCUUUGAGAUGGAGUGGUACAAAUGGUUCUAUUUUUUUUGCAUACUGGAUUUGUUCCCCUAUGGCUGUCUGCAUCAUCGUUUUAUCCGUGCAUGUGCCUGGAGGAGAUCAUCCUUUCAUCCGUGCAUGUGCUUGGAGGAGAUCCAGGAAUGUCCGGCAUGAGAAAGCUCAAAGCCGAGUCCUCCACCCAGGCCCUCCUUUGCAAGGUCGGCGAGGACACUGCUCUGUACAUGUGCUCCUCUCCCACCCCUCCACUGAUUUAAUGUGAAAUCUAAUUGGGAGGUAUUGAUAAGCACCAAUGUAUCCUUGGUUUAAUUAGUUCCCAUGUCUUGAGUUACUUUGAUCCUCUUGGUAAGAUCAAACCGAUGAAUACCUUUCAGGUCUCUCCGAUACGAAGUAAGCGAUACAAAUGCAAGGAUUGCACAUAAGUAAUUGGAUUUGACCCCAGUUAAUUUAUUGCCUGUUUAACAAUGCAGAAAGAAGAGUUGCUACACCGGAACCUAGGCCAUGCAGUGAUUCAUAUUUUGGUUGCGCGGCUGUUUCUAUGCUGUUCAUCCGAGGUAAAUUUUAAAAUGAUGCAUUGCUUCACCCUGCUAUAUCCCGACGCUCUCAUAGUUUAAUCUAUCCGUGUAUACACAUCUUUCUUGGUGAUUGUAUUUUUCAUGUUGCCUGUCGAUGGAUCUCGCAACCUAACACGCAGAGCUAGAUAAAUUGUAGUUAUUGUUGUAUAACGAUUGGUUUUGGUAAAAUUUCAUGCGUUAUAUGUUUUUGUGGGUUUUGAUAAAACCACUUCUGAUCUUCAGAGAUAUAUGUUUGGUACUUGCUCUACACAUAUAUGCCUGGCGCUCCAGCUCGUGCAUUCAUUUGAUCUGACAUGACGUACAUGUACAGAGCAACUUUGUAUAGUGUUGUUAGCUGGUGGUCUAUAUAAUUUAAGGUAAUGUAUGUGACUUAAGAUGAUGCAUUCAUGAAUUAAGCAUGGAUCUUAGAUUGCGCUGGGACUGCUUCCGAGGAUGCAGGUUUCCGAUCGUAAUAUAGACCUUUCAAAACAUUAUGUGUCAUGCCUGCACAGUACUUGAAACAUAAUUACACUGCAUAUAUUUAGCAAAUUUGCAUACUACUAUUGUUUAAGUAAAAAAAUGUGAACUUCAAAUUAUAUAGUGGCUUCAGAUUAUUUUCUCAAAAACCAAGAGAUCUUUUGGGGUUUGCAGUAGUCUGGUUUACAAGAGAUAGCCACAUGUCUUUAUAAAUUUAAAUUGUGAGCAAAACAUAGUGGAACAGAACUGAAGCUAUUUCCUUCAGUAUCGUCUAUGUCUACUUGACGUUUCCAUAGAAGCUAAUGUAACUAUCCCGCAACCUGAAAAUACCGUAUGAUGUCCAGAGAAGAUUUCUGCUUACAUGUGAAUGGUUCUACUGCUGUUCUAAGUGAUUUCUUGAAGUUCUUCCUAUUUUCCCAUAUCAUCUGCAAGCUGACCAAAUUAAUCCUUAUUUGUUUGCCAGGUUUGUCAAACAUCGCUUCAUGUUGUAGUGCAUUUUUUCCUUUCAAAAUCCAUUUUAUGCCAUUUGGAUUUAUAACUGUCAGUUUAUUAUUUGUGGAGAACAGGAGAUAAGGAAAAGGGGAGGGGAAAAACAGUAAUUCUAGCAACUGGCGUUUGUUCCGUACCAAAGCUCGGGAGUUCAUUCUAUUGUGUGCAUCAGAAGUCUAUACAUAUGAGUUGGCACUCGGAGAGUGACAUAGAUUUUCUUGAGGUUAUGAUUUUUUUAUCUACUAUUACUUGAAUCUUUCUUACCUGAGUUUUUUUUCUUGGAGUUCUUCCUGUUUCCCAUAUCACCUGCUCUAUAUAAGCUGCUCCAUAAAAUUAAGUACGCGCAUCCUCCUUUAUUGGCCAAGUUUGUUCUAUUAUACUAAUCUGAAGUCUGUACAAAGGACUUGGGACGGAGUGAAGCAGAUUUGCUUGAAGUUUUGAAUUAUUUA